GACGAACGCUGGCGGCGUGCUUAACACAUGCAAGUCGAACGGAAAGGCCCUUCGGGGUACUCGAGUGGCGAACGGGUGAGUAACACGUGGGUGAUCUGCCCUGCACUUUGGGAUAAGCCUGGGAAACUGGGUCUAAUACCGCAUAGGACCACGCGCUUCAUGGUGUGUGGUGGAAAGCUUUUGCGGUGUGGGAUGGGCCCGCGGCCUAUCAGCUUGUUGGUGGGGUAAUGGCCUACCAAGGCGACGACGGGUAGCCGGCCUGAGAGGGUGACCGGCCACACUGGGACUGAGAUACGGCCCAGACUCCUACGGGAGGCAGCAGUGGGGAAUAUUGCACAAUGGGCGCAAGCCUGAUGCAGCGACGCCGCGUGAGGGAUGACGGCCUUCGGGUUGUAAACCGCUUUCAAUAGGGACGAAGCGCAAGUGACGGUACCUAUAGAAGAAGCACCGGCCAACUACGUG
rnacentral:rRNA from 1 species